rnacentral:rRNA from 1 species
AGUCGACGGGAUCCAUCAGGCUUUGCUUGGUGGUGAGAGUGGCGAACGGGUGAGUAAUGCGUGACCGACCUGCCCCAUACACCGGAAUAGCUCCUGGAAACGGGUGGUAAUGCCGGAUGCUCCAGUUGAUCGCAUGGUCUUCUGGGAAAGCUUUCGCGGUAUGGGAUGGGGUCGCGUCCUAUCAGCUUGACGGCGGGGUAACGGCCCACCGUGGCUUCGACGGGUAGCCGGCCUGAGAGGGCGACCGGCCACAUUGGGACUGAGAUACGGCCCAGACUCCUACGGGAGGCAGCAGUGGGGAAUAUUGCACAAUGGGCGCAAGCCUGAUGCAGCGACGCCGCGUGAGGGAUGGAGGCCUUCGGGUUGUAAACCUCUUUUAUCGGGGAGCAAGCGAGAGUGAGUUUACCCGUUGAAUAAGCACCGGCUAACUACGUGCCAGCAGCCGCGGUAAUACGUAGGGUGCAAGCGUUAUCCGGAAUUAUUGGGCGUAAAGGGCUCGUAGGCGGUUCGUCGCGUCCGGUGUGAAAGUCCAUCGCUUAACGGUGGAUCCGCGCCGGGUACGGGCGGGCUUGAGUGCGGUAGGGGAGACUGGAAUUCCCGGUGUAACGGUGGAAUGUGUAGAUAUCGGGAAGAACACCAAUGGCGAAGGCAGGUCUCUGGGCCGUUACUGACGCUGAGGAGCGAAAGCGUGGGGAGCGAACAGGAUUAGAUACCCUGGUAGUCCACGCCGUAAACGGUGGAUGCUGGAUGUGGGGCCCGUUCCACGGGUUCCGUGUCGG